CUCUCUCUGCGGAAGCCAGCCACCGCUCUCCAAGGACUCUCGAGCAGCUCCAUCUACAGAUUCACAUGGAGAAGAAUUAAGGGUUCCUGCCAAUCACCAGCACCACUUUGCCAGCCUUGUAAGUGGGCCACCUUGGAAUUGGAGCCUCCAGUUCCUACUGACAUCUGACUGCAACAUCAUGAGAGACCCUGAGUUUGAACCACCCAGCUGAGCUGCUUCUGAGCUAACCCACUGAAACCACAGUUGGCAUCUGUGUGAAGAUGUGAAUGGAGGAGGCAGAGUAGGCAGUGAGUGCCGCAGCCACAGCUUGUGUUCUCUGCAGCCCUGGCACAGAAGAUAGGAACACUCAUGGGGGAUGCGGCCACUGUGAUGUCUUCCCACACAAGAAGUGCCAAGUGCUUUUCUCAUGCUUUUCUGGAUUGUCCCAUGGUGGACGAGUCAGCAGGAGUGAGAUGGAGCAGCACAGUAGAGGGGUACCUGGCAAGGCCCGGAGGGAGGACCCCCUGCCCCAAACAUUUCAAUGAUAUCAGGUGACAGCCGUGAUCCUCUUAGCACCUGCUCUGUUUUGUCCCAGGCCAGGAUAUCGUUGUACAUAUUCUCAGCUAAGUGAGCACCAAUAGAGGAGAGGGAGAGUCUCAUGGAAGUUCCUUCUAAGCCUUUGGCUCUUUUUACCUUCAACAAGGUGUGCCACCUCUUUGAUCCAGCAAGUGGGAAGAACAGUCCCGGCCUCUUUGCACACAAGACCGUGAUACCAAUGCACCAUCACAGGCCCCACAGGGGAGCUGUCCGCUUCCCCACACAGCUGCUAGGGGCUCUUUUGCAUGUUCCCAACCUUUCCUGCCUUUAUCUGAUAUUCGUUCCUUAGAUCCUGGGAUGAGGAGGUGGACCAGCAGAAGGUGGGCUUGUGAAGGCAGCCCGGGGUCCAAAUCCUCCUGGCUCUUCAGCUUAGCGGGUUAGUUAACAUUCAGAAGCCUUCAUCUCCCAUCUGCAAAAUGGGCAUGUCCAACUCAGAAGCUGCCUUGAAGAAAGGGUCUACCCAGCAUGGUGCGUGGAGCCUAAGCAGUCAGUACUUCAGGACUUCACCCGGCCCCUUUCCAAUAACUGCUGCUGUCGCCCUCACAGGAUGUCACCUUCAGCGUCUGAAAGCUGGGUUUGAUGCGUCUGGAAAGGCGUCCCUGACAGGCGUCGUUGCCAGGAGCCCCUAGUGCCACCAGCAGCCAGCAGGGGAGGGCGUCCUCUGCCCGCUCACUUCUGACCCUUCUCUCGUUGCACCCGGAACAUGGUGCAGCUGGGAGCAGCCUGGGCUGCGCGGAAGGCUCAGAUUUGGGGACGGCCCUUGCCAGUGACUGUGAGCUGGGGUGUCUUGGAAACUCCCAGUCUCAGCUUCUCCAUUUAUAAGAUGAGAAUGAUCAUACCAGACUCAGGCAAGGUUGUUUGUGCAUUAGUGAAAUCAGACGUAUUAAAUAAAGUACCACAUUGAUCGUGGAGUUGUUGAAUAACCAAGAACACGCCUAUCUGUCUCCAAAAAAUAAAUGUUGAAAAU
rnacentral:lncRNA from 1 species